GUUAGUUUAUUUUACUGUAGAAGAAACACAUUAAGGAACAUUUGCACUUAACCAACCACAGAUUGCAUCGCUGAAUUUAGCAGCCAUAUCAUUCACAUCCUCACUGACGUAAAUAAAACUCCAUUCCAGACUGAACAGAGGCAGUUGUCUGUUGCCAGAAACAUCACAGCGGACGCUAAGUGGUGGAUGGUGGAAAUCGACUGGUAGCAAGGGAUCUUCUGCAGCAUGUACCAAAAUACGACUGUGUAUAGGAGCGAAAAUCAAGUCGAGUGUAGAACAAUGCAUCGCAAUAAGGUAAAAGCAAUACACAACCUUUGUAAUAACAUGAAUUUUCUUGUUAGGCUCAGUCGUAACACUACAGAGCUACUUAAAGCUAUUGUAAAUUAAUACAAAUUAACAAAUAAAUUAUCCAUAUUAGUUUUCAUAGCAUUUCGAAAGUAUAUAUAAUGAAUAAUAAAGGAGGCCUCGUUCUCAUUCUGUAUUAUUACGUUAAA